UAUUGGACCCAAUUGCCCGCGGCUAGAAGUUACGGAGUUGGGUAUUGAAAUCCCACCGCAUCACUGCCCGCCUCCCUCCCGCCCGCCAAGACACCAAUUAUCGACACUGCCCAUCAAAAUUCCUGUGUAUCAUUUUCUUAUUUGGUUUGAUUUAUUAAAUCAUGGAUAUUAACAAUGGUGAUGAAGAGCAAUUUGAGUUCUCAAGGAAUUACUUUCUUGCAAAAGAGUGUUCGGGUAAGAAAUCAACCUGCAAGAUUUCUGAUAUUGAUCUGAUUGAUGAACAGGAGCUGAUAGCAGCUGUAGCUAAUAUUGAACCGAAGCAUGAGAAAGAGACCAUUGCUCUUGUGAAUAGUUAUAAGAAGCUAUAUCCCCGAUGGGUUUUUUGAGCUCAGGUCAUUAUAGCCUUAGCUAAAGUUUGGUGGGAUCAGUUGAAAACUAGACAAAGGACUUCAUCGAGGAUUUUACCUAAAGUUCAACAGCCAUUCAAUUCUCGAUCGGUGGACGAUCUUCUUGCAUUUUUGGAUAAAUCAGAGGCAGAGGAAAAUGAUUCUUUUAUAUGUGUUGUUAUUCAUAACAUUGAUGGGCCUGGGUUAAGAGACUCUGAAAGCCAACAGUAUCUCACACGAAUUGCUUCUUGUUCGAAUAUUCGUACCAUUGCCAACACCUCUCUGUAAGUGUUUUCUUUUCAUUGUCUGUUAUUUGUGGACAAGAUGUUGGUUAUGUUUAGCAUGUUGUUACUUGCCUAUAGCACUUCUAAUUUUGGUUAAAACCUUCUUAGCAUUUCUAUUGCUGUUGCUAUGGCCUUUUAGACCAAAACUGAAAUUAUUUUUUGAUUAAACAUGUUUAUUACUAGUGCAACUUUUUGCUUUAUUUUUCUCCAAAUGCUUCAAUAGAAUGGAACUUAGGUGGCUC